rnacentral:tRNA from 1 species
GUAGCUCAGUGGUAGAUAUCCCGCUUGAUAUGCGGGAAGAUCUGGGUUCGAUUCCCGGC